GGGUGACAGCCCCGUACACAAAAAUGCACAUGCUGUGAGCUCGAUGAGUAGGGCGGGACACGUGGUAUCCUGUCUGAAUAUGGGGGGACCAUCCUCCAAGGCUAAAUACUCCUGACUGACCGAUAGUGAACCAGUACCGUGAGGGAAAGGCGAAAAGAACCCCGGCGAGGGGAGUGAAAAAGAACCUGAAACCGUGUACGUACAAGCAGUGGGAGCACAGAGCAAUCUGUGUGACUGCGUACCUUUUGUAUAAUGGGUCAGCGACUUAUAUUCUGUAGCAAGGUUAACCGAAUAGGGGAGCCGAAGGGAAACCGAGUCUUAACUGGGCGUUAAGUUGCAGGGUAUAGACCCGAAACCCGGUGAUCUAGCCAUGGGCAGGUUGAAGGUUGGGUAACACUAACUGGAGGACCGAACCGACUAAUGUUGAAAAAUUAGCGGAUGACUUGUGGCUGGGGGUGAAAGGCCAAUCAAACCGGGAGAUAGCUGGUUCUCCCCGAAAGCUAUUUAGGUAGCGCCUCGUGAAUUCAUCUCCGGGGGUAGAGCACUGUUUCGGCAAGGGGGUCAUCCCGACUUACCAACCCGAUGCAAACUGCGAAUACCGGAGAAUGUUAUCACGGGAGACACACGGCGGGUGCUAACGUCCGUCGUGAAGAGGGAAACAACCCAGACCGCCAGCUAAGGUCCCAAAGUCAUGGUUAAGUGGGAAACGAUGUGGGAAGGCCCAGACAGCCAGGAUGUUGGCUUAGAAGCAGCCAUCAUUUAAAGAAAGCGUAAUAGCUCACUGGUCGAGUCGGCCUGCGCGGAAGAUGUAACGGGGCUAAACCAUGCACCGAAGCUGCGGCAGCGACACUGUGUGUUGUUGGGUAGGGGAGCGU
rnacentral:rRNA from 1 species